GUUGUAUGGUUAAGUGACUAAGCGUACACGGUGGAUGCCUGGGCAGUCAGAGGCGAUGAAGGACGUACUAACUUGCGAUAAGCGCAGAUAAGGCAGUAAGAGCCGUUUGAGUCUGCGAUUUCCGAAUGGGGAAACCCAACUGCAUAAGCAGUUACUGUUAACUGAAUACAUAGGUUAACAGAGCAAACCGGGGGAACUGAAACAUCUAAGUACCCCGAGGAGAAGAAAUCAACCGAGAUUCCGGUAGUAGCGGCGAGCGAACCUGGAUUAGCCCUUAAGCACUCGGUGAAGUAGGUGAACAAGCUGGAAAGCUUGGCGAUACAGGGUGAUAGCCCCGUAACCGACGCUUCAUCGAGCGUGAAAUCGAGUAGGGCGGGACACGUGAUAUCCUGUCUGAAUAUGGGGGGACCAUCCUCCAAGGCUAAAUACUCCUGACUGACCGAUAGUGAACCAGUACCGUGAGGGAAAGGCGAAAAGAACCCCUGUGAGGGGAGUGAAAUAGAACCUGAAACCGUGUACGUACAAGCAGUAGGAGCACCUUCGUGGUGUGACUGCGUACCUUUUGUAUAAUGGGUCAGCGACUUAUAUUCAGUGGCAAGGUUAACCGUAUAGGGGAGCCGUAGCGAAAGCGAGUCUUAACUGGGCGUUCAGUCUCUGGAUAUAGACCCGAAACCGGGUGAUCUAGCCAUGGGCAGGUUGAAGGUUGAGUAACAUCAACUGGAGGACCGAACCGACUAAUGUUGAAAAAUUAGCGGAUGACUUGUGGCUAGGGGUGAAAGGCCAAUCAAACUCGGAGAUAGCUGGUUCUCCCCGAAAGCUAUUUAGGUAGCGCCUCGGACGAAUACUACUGGGGGUAGAGCACUGUUAAGGCUAGGGGGUCAUCCCGACUUACCAACCCUUUGCAAACUCCGAAUACCAGUAAGUACUAUCCGGGAGACACACGGCGGGUGCUAACGUCCGUCGUGGAGAGGGAAACAACCCAGACCGCCAGCUAAGGUCCCAAAGUAUUGCUAAGUGGGAAACGAUGUGGGAAGGCUCAGACAGCUAGGAUGUUGGCUUAGAAGCAGCCAUCAUUUAAAGAAAGCGUAAUAGCUCACUAGUCGAGUCGGCCUGCGCGGAAGAUGUAACGGGGCUAAGCAAUACACCGAAGCUGCGGCAAUAUCUUUUAGAUAUUGGGUAGGGGAGCGUUCUGUAAGCCGUUGAAGGUGAAUCGUAAGGUUUGCUGGAGGUAUCAGAAGUGCGAAUGCUGACAUGAGUAACGACAAAGGGGGUGAAAAACCUCCUCGCCGGAAGACCAAGGGUUCCUGUCCAACGUUAAUCGGGGCAGGGUGAGUCGACCCCUAAGGUGAGGCCGAAAGGCGUAAUCGAUGGGAAACGGGUUAAUAUUCCCGUACUUCUGACUAUUGCGAUGGGGGGACGGAGAAGGCUAGGUGGGCCAGGCGACGGUUGUCCUGGUUCAAGUGCGUAGGCUUGAGAGUUAGGUAAAUCCGGCUCUCUCUAAGGCUGAGACACGACGUCGAGCUACUACGGUAGUGAAGUCAUUGAUGCCAUGCUUCCAGGAAAAGCCUCUAAGCUUCAGAUAGUCAGGAAUCGUACCCCAAACCGACACAGGUGGUCGGGUAGAGAAUACCAAGGCGCUUGAGAGAACUCGGGUGAAGGAACUAGGCAAAAUGGUACCGUAACUUCGGGAGAAGGUACGCUCUUGAUGGUGAAGUCCCUCGCGGAUGGAGCUGACGAGAGUCGCAGAUACCAGGUGGCUGCAACUGUUUAUUAAAAACACAGCACUGUGCAAAAUCGCAAGAUGACGUAUACGGUGUGACGCCUGCCCGGUGCCGGAAGGUUAAUUGAUGGGGUUAGCGCAAGCGAAGCUCUUGAUCGAAGCCCCGGUAAACGGCGGCCGUAACUAUAACGGUCCUAAGGUAGCGAAAUUCCUUGUCGGGUAAGUUCCGACCUGCACGAAUGGCGUAAUGAUGGCCACGCUGUCUCCACCCGAGACUCAGUGAAAUUGAAAUCGCUGUGAAGAUGCAGUGUACCCGCGGCUAGACGGAAAGACCCCGUGAACCUUUACUACAGCUUGGCACUGAACAUUGAACCUACAUGUGUAGGAUAGGUGGGAGGCUAUGAAGACGUGACGCCAGUUGCGUUGGAGCCGUCCUUGAAAUACCACCCUUGUAUGUUUGAUGUUCUAACUUAGACCCGUUAUCCGGGUUGAGGACAGUGCCUGGUGGGUAGUUUGACUGGGGCGGUCUNNNUCCUCCCAAAGAGUAACGGAGGAGCACGAAGGUGGGCUAAUCACGGUUGGACAUCGUGAGGUUAGUGCAAUGGCAUAAGCCCGCUUAACUGCGAGAAUGACGGUUCGAGCAGGUGCGAAAGCAGGUCAUAGUGAUCCGGUGGUUCUGUAUGGAAGGGCCAUCGCUCAACGGAUAAAAGGUACUCCGGGGAUAACAGGCUGAUACCGCCCAAGAGUUCAUAUCGACGGCGGUGUUUGGCACCUCGAUGUCGGCUCAUCACAUCCUGGGGCUGAAGUCGGUCCCAAGGGUAUGGCUGUUCGCCAUUUAAAGUGGUACGCGAGCUGGGUUUAGAACGUCGUGAGACAGUUCGGUCCCUAUCUGCCGUGGGCGUUGGAAGAUUGAAGGGGGCUGCUCCUAGUACGAGAGGACCGGAGUGGACGAACCUCUGGUGUUCGGGUUGUGUCGCCAGACGCAUUGCCCGGUAGCUAAGUUCGGAAUUGAUAAGCGCUGAAAGCAUCUAAGCGCGAAGCGAGCCCUGAGAUGAGUCUUCCCUGA
rnacentral:rRNA from 1 species